UACAGAGGGUGCAAGCGUUGUUCGGAAUUACUGGGCGUAAAGCGCGUGUAGGUGGCGACGUAAGUCGGGUGUGAAAUCCCUUGGCUUAACCAAGGAAGUGCACUCGAUACUGUGUCGCUUGAGUACCGGAGGGGAUGGCGGAAUUCCCGGUGUAGAGGUGAAAUUCGUAGAUAUCGGGAGGAACACCUGUGGCGAAGGCGGCCAUCUGGACGGUCACUGACACUGAGACGCGAAAGCGUGGGUAGCAAACAGG
rnacentral:rRNA from 1 species